rnacentral:misc_RNA from 1 species
GGCCAAGAACAACAUGGCCCAAAUGAAAAACGAUCUGGAGGUUGUGGAUUAUAUAUACAACAGAAUACACCAGAUAUUGCCUAAAUGUCACUGAUCUAAGAGGCUUUUGAUUACUUAUACUAGUAUAACAGACUUAUCUAACUGUCAUUGACAUCCUGGGACAAUAUUAUGACUGUUUAAAAAAAUAUUUGAAUUGGUUGUUGCUUUUUUGUAUUGCGUCAUGAUUUGAAUCAUGCAUUUUGUUUAUGAUUAAACUUGUGUUAGCGUU